rnacentral:rRNA from 1 species
GGGCCCGCACAAGCGGUGGAGCAUGUGGUUUAAUUCGAUGCAACGCGAAGAACCUUACCUACUCUUGACAUCCUCAGAAGAGACUGGAGACAGUCUUGUGCCUUCGGGAACUGAGAGACAGGUGCUGCAUGGCUGUCGUCAGCUCGUGUUGUGAAAUGUUGGGUUAAGUCCCGCAACGAGCGCAACCCUUAUCCUUGUUUGCCAGCGAGUCAUGUCGGGAACUCCAGGGAGACUGCCGGUGAUAAACCGGAGGAAGGUGGGGACGACGUCAAGUCAUCAUGGCCCUUACGAGUAGGGCUACACACGUGCUACAAUGGCGCAUACAGAGGGCAGCCAACUUGCGAAAGUGAGCG